rnacentral:rRNA from 1 species
GAUGAACGCUGACAGAAUGCUUAACACAGGCAAGUCAACUGUGGCGGACGUGUGAGUAACGCGUAAAGAACUUGCCUCACAGCUAGGGACAACAUUUGGCAACGAAUGCUAAUACCUGAUACUGUGAGAGAGCUUUGCGUCCCAUUAGCUAGUUGGAGAGGUAACGGAUCACCAAGGCGAUGAUGGGUAGCCGGCCGGAGAGGGUGAUCGGCCAAAAGGGGUAUGAGACGCGGCCCUUACGCCUACGGGAGGCAGCAGGGGGGAAGAUUGUACAAUGGACCAAAGUCUGAUAAGGCAAUUCGGUGUGAACGAUGAAGUUUUCGGAAUGUAAAGUGCUUUCAGUUGGGAAGCGGUACCAACAGAAGAAGGGACGGCUAAAUACGUGCCAGCAGCCGCGGUAAUAC